GUGCCAGCAGCCGCGGUAAUACCGGCAGCCCGAGUGAUGGCCGAUUUUAUUGGGCCUAAAGCGUCCGUAGCCGGCCGGACAAGUCCGUUGGGAAAUCGACGCGCUCAACGCGUCGGCGUCCAGCGGAAACUGUCCGGCUUGGGGCCGGAAGACCUGAGGGGUACGUCCGGGGUAGGAGUGAAAUCCUGUAAUCCUGGACGGACCACCAAUGGCGAAAGCACCUCAGGAAGACGGACCCGACGGUGAGGGACGAAAGCUAGGGUCUCGAACCGGAUUAGAAACCCGGGUAGUCC
rnacentral:rRNA from 1 species